AGACAGCAAAGGAGUCCAAAACGGACCCGCGCUCAAGCCGCCACAUCCGCCUGACAGUCAGCCUCCGUUUUGGAUACGGGCACAGAACACAUUUCGCCUCCGUUAACGCGCCUUCAUACGGCGGAUCCACGCCGGACCCUUUGCGGAUGCGCACAUCGAACGCGCCCUUCAAAUCUGCUAACGGUUUCCUUCCUCAGUUUUUUCGCUGAUGGAGUGCGGAGGCGAAAUAGCGGUGUCUGCGGGCUCACUGUCAUUCACAAGUGGCUCCAGUCUGGUUUGGGGGUCUACCCUUUCUUAUCAUGUCCUGCCACCCAAUAAAGCCAUUCACAAGUGGCUCCAGCCUGGUUUGGGGGUCUAGCCUUUCUCAUCCUGUCCUGCCACCCAAUAAAGCCAUUCACAAGUGGCUCCAGCCUGGUUUGGGGGUCUAGCCUUUCUCAUCCUGUCCUGCCACCCAAUAAAAAGAGAAAUUACUAAAGGCCUCUGCAACUGCUUUUACCAGAUGCUGUGAGAGAGUUAUGCCCUGUGCCGCGGCUUCUGAUUCAGUACAGCAGUUCAACCAGCCCAGCAAACAGGAAAAGCUCAAGGAGGUGUCUUAACUAUCAGCAUUCCUACCCAAACAGAUCAAGCUACUGUUAUGUCCAACUAAGAAAAACAAUGGUCUGGUAUGAAGGUUAUCUGUGUUUUGAAACAUAAAUAUUCAUUAAAUAAUAAUAAAAAUG